UAACACGUGGGCAAUCUGCCCUAAAGACUGGGAUACCACUUGGAAACAGGUGCUAAUACCGGAUAACAACAUGAAUCGCAUGAUUCAAGUUUGAAAGGCGGCGCAAGCUGUCACUUUAGGAUGAGCCCGCGGCGCAUUAGCUAGUUGGUGGGGUAAAGGCCUACCAAGGCAAUGAUGCGUAGCCGAGUUGAGAGACUUAUCGGCCACAUUGGGACUGAGACACGGCCCAAACUCCUACGGGAGGCAGCAGGG
rnacentral:rRNA from 1 species